CAGCCGCCGCGGUAAUACAGAGGGUGCGAGCGUUAAUCGGAUUUACUGGGCGUAAAGCGUGCGUAGGCGGCUUCUUAAGUCAGAUGUGAAAUCCCUGAGCUUAACUUAGGAAUUGCAUUCGAUACUGGGAAGCUAGAGUAUGGGAGAGGAUGGUAGAAUUCCAGGUGUAGCGGUGAAAUGCGUAGAGAUCUGGAGGAAUACCGAUGGCGAAGGCAGCCAUCUGGCCUAAUACUGACGCUGAGGUACGAAAGCAUGGGGAGCAAACAGGAUUAGAUACCCCAGUAGUCCCUGUCUCUUAUAC
rnacentral:rRNA from 1 species